CUGGAAUAUCGCCCAGUCUGUCACACAGUCAAUAACUUGUGGUAAACAACAUCAAGCGCUGUUCCUCCGGCAAAAGGAAGGAUGCAGGGCCACAAAGAGUUCACCAGCAUUGAGUCGGUGGGGAUAAAUGAAGAGCGAAGCUUGCCCCGCCAUCUCCGUGCUUAGUCUCAGAAGUUAUUGUUCUGAUGCUCUUGCAAAAAUGUUUCAGCUUCAAGGAGAUUCAUGGGAAGGACUUUCAACAAAUACAGGUGCAGGAACCUCAGGAUGUUUUGGGGUCCUCAGGAAAAGAAGAAGUAACCCAAAUUUAUAGGUAUUGCAGAGAUGUCUCAUUAAUUACCUGAUUGCUUGCACAGUAUAGACCUAAUUUUGAGAGCCCACCUGCAAGACUGCCUCCUGAAAUGAGAGAACUGUUAAACUAACCUAUUUUCAAGACUAAGACUGGUUCAUAAGAUAUGGAGCAAAUUUCUCACCUAUGGUCCAGAACAGAACAGUUAAGUUCCAGCUAAGAGAAAAGAAUGUUGAUCUAUGUUGUUUUUCUAAGAAAAAUCUUGUCAAAGGAGAGAAUGUUAAUCUGUAACCACACCACAAGAACUUUUGAUAGAAAUUUAUUCCAGAUAUGAGAUUCUUAUAGAUAACCCCCAGUUAUGAUAAAUUAAGUUAGAGAACUACAUUAUACUGGGAACAAGUUAAUCAUACUAAAUACUGGACCCUUUUUCUGGAAUCCCCAAAGGAUUAAAUCAAUGUUACAAGGACUAGUAAAAUUUGGGUUAUAUGUAAUAAUGAAAUGUGCUUUCCAAAUAUUUUGGCCAUGCAAAAUGUACAUGGUUAGCCAAGUACCAGGGUAGAUUUCCAACAAAGUGCAAAGUUGUUUUAUUCCUCAAACUCCAAAACUUCAUUCCAUUUUAGCAGAAAAUAGCCAGAGUGGUCAUUGUCCCAAUUCCUUCAAAACUGAGGAAUGAUCAUAAAUCUAGGGGAGAUUGAAACCAUGCUCCAUGGGGUCAAUGAGGUUAAAACUGUCAUCAGAAAGGUCCCCAAUGACCCUCUCUUCUUCUUCACAGGAAUGUUAACCUUAUCUUUUAGAGGUAAACAACAGGAAGAGCUCCAGCCAGCCUAAACCAGUUUGAGCUCAACCACCCACUCACACCUGUGCAGAGAGAGCAUGGAGUGUCCAAUAGUCACCUCUACCUCAUAAUAAUGUUAAAAUCUCCACUCAAGGAGGAACAUAAACCUCAUUAACAUAACAUACAGUACAUGUAUAAGCAUGUUUCCUAAGUAAGCAUCAGUUGCUUUAUACCCACCUCUACAUGUGAUGACAAAACUUCCUUUUCUGAGUAUUCAUCCUAUCCUUAAAUAAAAGAAACUCACUCACCCCCAUUUGGGGAGUCACCACUUUGAAGUUAUUCCCCUGUGAUCUCCUUAUUUGCUACAAAUAAAGUUUCCUUUGUGUGACAAAAAAAAA